rnacentral:rRNA from 1 species
UACGGAGGAUGCAAGCGUUAUCCGGAAUUAUUGGGCGUAAAGCGUCCGUAGGUGGCUAAUCAAGUCUGCUGUCAAAGCGUGGAGCUUAACUCCAUAACGGCGGUGGAAACUGAUGAGCUAGAGUGCGAUAGGGGUAGCAGGAAUUCCCGGUGUAGCGGUGGAAUGCGUAGAGAUCAGGAGGAACACCGGUGGCGAAGGCGGAUCUCUGGGCCAUUACUGACGCUGAGGAGCGAAAGCGUGGGGAGCGAACAGG